UUAUCAAAAACAUCGCCUCUUGCUAACAAAGGAAGUACUAGAGGUCCCGCCUGCCCUGUGACCACAAAGUUUUACGGCCGCGGUAUCCUGACCGUGCGAAGGUAGCGUAAUCAUUUGUCUUUUAAAUAGAGACCUGUAUGAAUGGCAUAACGAGGGCUUAACUGUCUACUCCCCCGAGUCAAUGAAAUUGAUCUGCCCGUGCAGAAGCGGACAUAAACACAUAAGACGAGAAGACCCUAUGGAGCUUUAGACAAAAGAUCAAACAUGUAAAGAAACCAAACUAACCAAAAGGAAUACAAAAGCCCCAAAACCCAGUGUAAACUGAUCCAAAUGUCUUCGGUUGGGGCGACCAUGGGGGAAAGAAAAGCCCCCACGAGGAACAGGGACAACCCCUAAACUAAGAGAGACACCUCUAAGCAACAGAAAAUCUGACCAAAAAUGACCCAGGACACUGAUCCUGAUCAACGAACCAAGUUACCCUAGGGAUAACAGCGCAAUCCUUUCCCAGAGUCCAUAUCGACGAAAGGGUUUACGACCUCGAUGUUGGAUCAGGACAUCCUAAUGGUGCAGCCGCUAUUAAGGGUUCGUUUGUUCAACGAUUAAUAGUCCUACGUGAUCUGAGUUCA
rnacentral:rRNA from 1 species